CACGCGGUAAACGAUGAUUACUGGUUGUUCGCGAUACACUGUGAGCGACUGAGCGAAAGCGUUAAGUAAUCCACCUGGGGAGUACGUUCGCAAGAAUGAAACUCAAAGGAAUUGACGGGGGCCCGCACAAGCGGAGGAACAUGUGGUUUAAUUCGAUGAUACGCGAGGAACCUUACCCGGGCUUGAAAUGCAUCUGACCGGCAAAGAGAUUUGCUUUUUCCUCGGAACGGAUGCGUAGGUGC
rnacentral:rRNA from 2 species